rnacentral:rRNA from 1 species
AAAGGGUGCGUAGGCGGUUUAUUAAGUCAGUGGUGAAAGACGGUCGCUCAACGAUUGCAGUGCCAUUGAUACUGGUAGACUUGAGUGAGAUUGAGGUAGCUGGAAUGGAUAGUGUAGCGGUGAAAUGCAUAGAUAUUAUCCAGAACACCAAUUGCGUAGGCAAGUUACUAAGUCUCAACUGACGCUGAGGCACGAAAGUGUGGGUAUCAAACAGGAUUAGAUACCCGUGU